AUAAGGGUCUACAAUUGCUAAUACAGAUUUUGGCAAUGGAACCUGGCUGACUUUGUGUUGAAGGGAAGUCUCAUAAUUAACUCGACUCAGCCAAGUCUUAACCCUAAAUUAGUUGGAAGUCUUAUAAUUGUUUUACUCCCAAAAAUUCUCUACUGUUAUUAUUUGUACUAUGAUGAUGAUUGGUUGUUAUAUUCUUUGUCUUUUUUCUGAAAAUGUAAGUGAAAGCUGAAAUUUUUUGCAUCUUUUUG
rnacentral:misc_RNA from 1 species